rnacentral:rRNA from 1 species
UGCGGCGUGCCUAACACAUGCAAGUCGAGCGAAGCUCUUUGCUUAUAUUCUUCGGAUGAAGAGGAUUGUGACUGAGCGGCGGACGGGUGAGUAACGCGUGGGUAACCUGCCUCAUACGGGGGGAUAACAGUUAGAAAUGACUGCUAAUACCGCAUAAGACCACAGCACCGCGUGGUGCGGGGGUAAAAACUCCGGUGGUAUGAGAUGGACCCGCGUCUGAUUAGCUAGUUGGUAAGGUAACGGCUUACCAAGGCGACGAUCAGUAGCCGACCUGAGAGGGUGACCGGCCACAUUGGGACUGAGACACGGCCCAAACUCCUACGGGAGGCAGCAGUGGGGAAUAUUGCACAAUGGGGGAAACCCUGAUGCAGCGACGCCGCGUGAGCGAAGAAGUAUUUCGGUAUGUAAAGCUCUAUCAGCAGGGAAGAAAAUGACGGUACCUGACUAAGAAGCACCGGCUAAAUACGUGCCAGCAGCCGCGGUAAUACGUAUGGUGCAAGCGUUAUCCGGAUUUACUGGGUGUAAAGGGAGCGUAGACGGAUGGGCAAGUCUGAUGUGAAAACCCGGGGCUCAACCCCGGGACUGCAUUGGAAACUGUUCAUCUAGAGUGCUGGAGAGGUAAGUGGAAUUCCUAGUGUAGCGGUGAAAUGCGUAGAUAUUAGGAGGAACACCAGUGGCGAAGGCGGCUUACUGGACAGUAACUGACGUUGAGGCUCGAAAGCGUGGGGAGCAAACAGGAUUAGAUACCCUGGUAGUCCACGCCGUAAAC